rnacentral:rRNA from 1 species
AUUGAACGCUGGCGGCAGGCCUAACACAUGCAAGUCGAACGGUAACAGGAAGAAUCUUGCUUCUUUGCUGACGAGUGGCGGACGGGUGAGUAAUGUCUGGGAAACUGCCUGAUGGAGGGGGAUAACUACUGGAAACGGUAGCUAAUACCGCAUAACGUCGCAAGACCAAAGAGGGGGACCUUCGGGCCUCUUGCCAUCGGAUGUGCCCAGAUGGGAUUAGCUAGUAGGUGGGGUAACGGCUCACCUAGUCGACGAUCCCUAGCUGGUCUGAGAGGAUGACCAGCCACACUGGAACUGAGACACGGUCCAGACUCCUACGGGAGGCAGCAGUGGGGAAUAUUGCACAAUGGGGGCAAGCAUGAUGCAGCCAUGCCGCGUGUAUGAAGAAGGCCUUCGGGUUGUAAAGUACUUUCAGCGGGGAGGAAGGGAGUAAAGUUAAUACCUUGACUCAUUGACGUUACCCGCAGAAGAAGCACCGGCUAACUCCGUG